GGCUUUAUAAUUUAUACUUAUAAAAUAUUAGUUUUGUAAACUGAAAAAAUGAAAAGCCA
rnacentral:tRNA from 1 species